rnacentral:misc_RNA from 1 species
UGUCUUGUUUCCAUGCCUGGCUCAGGGUCGGUUGAACCUAUCAGACUCUUGUCUGCAUCGGUCGGUCGCUCUGUCCCGUACAGUGCGCCGUCCUAAGUUAUGCCGAAAGGAGUUUGUCUGCCUCAACUCUUGGGUUUCUGACCUGGGUUGUUGUUGGACGUCCUAUCGUGCAUGGUGGUCUGUGACUCUCGGUCAUUCCACCGUCUAUAUCACUU